UAAUUUAUUUCUUUAAUUUUCUUAUACAUGAAAGAUUUUACUGUGUGUGAAUAAAUUAUUUAUAUGUAAAACAUGCUUUGCAUAUUUAUGGUAUAUUAUAUCAUAUACCAUAAAUAUAUAAAUAUGCUUCGUAUGUUUCUUUAUACUUUAUAUUUUUAUAAAUGUGUAUAUAUGGUAUAUACAUGGUAUAAACUUCAUAUAUAACAUACUUUGUAUAUUUAUAUUAUAAAUAUGCUUAGUAUGUUUCUUAAUACUUUGUAUAUUUAUAUAUGUGUGUAUAU
rnacentral:lncRNA from 1 species